UGGGGAAUUUUGGACAAUGGGCGAAAGCCUGAUCCAGCCAUGCCGCGUGAGUGAAGAAGGCCUUCGGGUUGUAAAGCUCUUUUAGUCGGAAAGAAAGAGUUGCAAUGAAUAAUUGUGAUUUAUGACGGUACCGACAGAAAAAGCACCGGCUAACUACGUGCCAGCAGCCGCGGUAAUACGUAGGGUGCGAGCGUUAAUCGGAAUUACUGGGCGUAAAGGGUGCGCAGGCGGUCUUGCAAGUCAGAUGUGAAAGCCCCGGGCUUAACCUGGGAAUUGCGUUUGAAACUACAAGACUAGAGUGCAGCAGAGGGGAGUGGAAUUCCAUGUGUAGCAGUGAAAUGCGUAGAGAUGUGGAAGAACACCGAUGGCGAAGGCAGCUCCCUGGGUUGACACUGACGCUCAUGCACGAAAGCGUGGG
rnacentral:rRNA from 1 species